rnacentral:piRNA from 1 species
UAAGAGCUACAUAUGGGUUUCGGCUUAG